GACGAACGCUGGCGGCGUGCUUAACACAUGCAAGUCGAGCGGUAAGGCCCUUUCGGGGGUACACGAGCGGCGAACGGGUGAGUAACACGUGGGUGACCUGCCCUCAGCUCUGGGAUAAGCCUGGGAAACCGGGUCUAAUACUGGAUAUGACUCCAUGACGCAUGUUGUGGGGUGGAAAGCCUUGUGCGGCUGAGGAUGGGCCCGCGGCCUAUCAGCUUGUUGGUGGGGUGAUGGCCUACCAAGGCGACGACGGGUAGCCGGCCUGAGAGGGCGACCGGCCACACUGGGACUGAGACACGGCCCAGACUCCUACGGGAGGGCAGCAGUGGGGAAUCUUGCGCAAUGGGCGAAAGCCUGACGCAGCGACGCCGCGUGAGGGAUGACGGCCUCGG
rnacentral:rRNA from 1 species